UGGGGAAUAUUGGGCAAUGGGCGCAAGCCUGACCCAGCAACGCCGCGUGAGGGAAGAAGGUUUUCGGAUUGUAAACCUCUGUCGCAGGGGACGAAGGAAGUGACGGUACCCUGUAAGAAAGCCCCGGCUAACUACGUGCCAGCAGCCGCGGUAAUACGUAGGGGGCGAGCGUUGUCCGGAAUUACUGGGCGUAAAGGGAGCGUAGGCGGUCGAUUAAGUUAGAUGUGAAACCCCCGGGCUUAACUUGGGGACUGCAUCUAAUACUGGUUGACUUAGAGUACAGGAGAGGGAAGCGGAAUUCCUAGUGUAGCGGUGAAAUGCGUAGAUAUUAGGAGGAACACCAGUGGCGAAGGCGGCUUUCUGGACUGACACUGACGCUGAGGCUCGAAAGCGUGGGGAGCAAACA
rnacentral:rRNA from 1 species